UACGUAGGGUGCAAGCGUUAAUCGGAAUUACUGGGCGUAAAGCGUGCGCAGGCGGUGAUGUAAGACAGGUGUGAAAUCCCCGGGCUUAACCUGGGAACUGCAUUUGUGACUGCAUCGCUGGAGUGCGGCAGAGGGGGAUGGAAUUCCGCGUGUAGCAGUGAAAUGCGUAGAUAUGCGGAGGAACACCGAUGGCGAAGGCAGGUCUCUGGGCUGAUACUGACGCUCAUGCACGAAAGCGUGGGGAGCAAACGGG
rnacentral:rRNA from 1 species